CACGUAGGGUGCGAGCGUUGUCCGGAAUUAUUGGGCGUAAAGAGCUCGUAGGCGGUUUGUCGCGUCUGCCGUGAAAGUCCGGGGCUCAACUCCGGAUCUGCGGUGGGUACGGGCAGACUAGAGUGAUGUAGGGGAGACUGGAAUUCCUGGUGUAGCGGUGAAAUGCGCAGAUAUCAGGAGGAACACCGGUGGCGAAGGCGGGUCUCUGGGCCGAUACUGACGCUGAGGAGCGAAAGCGUGGGGAGCGAACAGG
rnacentral:rRNA from 1 species